rnacentral:rRNA from 1 species
CCUACGGGAGGCAGCAGUGAGGAAUAUUGGUCAAUGGGCGCGAGCCUGAACCAGCCAGGUAGCGUGAAGGAUGACUGUCCUAUGGGUUGUAAACUUCUUUUAUAAAGGAAUAAAGUGAGGCACGUGUGCCUUUUUGUAUGUACCUUAUGAAUAAGGAUCGGCUAACUCCGUGCCAGCAGCCGCGGUAAUACGGAGGAUCCGAGCGUUAUCCGGAUUUAUUGGGUUUAAAGGGAGCGUAGAUGGGUUUUUAAGUCAGUUGUGAAAGUUUGUGGCGCAACCGUAAAAUUGCAGUUGAUACUGGCAGCCUUGAGUACAGUUGAGGUAGGCGGAAUUCGUGGUGUAGCGGUGAAAUGCUUAGAUAUCACGAAGAACUCCGAUUGCGAAGGCAGCUUACUAAACUGCCACUGACAUUGAUGCUCGAAAGUGUGGGUAUCAAACAGGAUUAGAUACCCGGGUAGUC